AGAGUUUGAUCAUGGCUCAGAUUGAACGCUGGCGGCAGGCCUAACACAUGCAAGUCGAACGGUAACAGGAAGCAGCUUGCUGCUUCGCUGACGAGUGGCGGACGGGUGAGUAAUGUCUGGGAAACUGCCUGAUGGAGGGGGAUAACUACUGGAAACGGUGGCUAAUACCGCAUAACGUCGCAAGACCAAAGAGGGGGACCUUCGGGCCUCUUGCCAUCAGAUGUGCCCAGAUGGGAUUAGCUUGUUGGUGAGGUAACGGCUCACCAAGGCGACGAUCCCUAGCUGGUCUGAGAGGAUGACCAGCCACACUGGAACUGAGACACGGUCCAGACUCCUACGGGAGGCAGCAGUGGGGAAUAUUGCACAAUGGGCGCAAGCCUGAUGCAGCCAUGCCGCGUGUAUGAAGAAGGCCUUCGGGUUGUAAAGUACUUUCAGCGGGGAGGAAGGUGUUGCGGUUAAUAACCGCAGCAAUUGACGUUACCCGCAGAAGAAGCACCGGCUAACUCCGUGCCAGCAGCCGCGGUAAUACGGAGGGUGCAAGCGUUAAUCGGAAUUACUGGGCGUAAAGCGCACGCAGGCGGUCUGUCAAGUCGGAUGUGAAAUCCCCGGGCUCAACCUGGGAACUGCAUUCGAAACUGGCAGGCUUGAGUCUUGUAGAGGGGGGUAGAAUUCCAGGUGUAGCGGUGAAAUGCGUAGAGAUCUGGAGGAAUACCGGUGGCGAAGGCGGCCCCCUGGACAAAGACUGACGCUCAGGUGCGAAAGCGUGGGGAGCAAACAGGAUUAGAUACCCUGGUAGUCCACGCCGUAAACGAUGUCUACUUGGAGGUUGUGCCCUUGAGGCGUGGCUUCCGGAGCUAACGCGUUAAGUAGACCGCCUGGGGAGUACGGCCGCAAGGUUAAAACUCAAAUGAAUUGACGGGGGCCCGCACAAGCGGUGGAGCAUGUGGUUUAAUUCGAUGCAACGCGAAGAACCUUACCUGGUCUUGACAUCCACAGAACUUUCCAGAGAUGGAUUGGUGCCUUCGGGAACUGUGAGACAGGUGCUGCAUGGCUGUCGUCAGCUCGUGUUGUGAAAUGUUGGGUUAAGUCCCGCAACGAGCGCAACCCUUAUCCUUUGUUGCCAGCGAUUAGGUCGGGAACUCAAAGGAGACUGCCAGUGAUAAACUGGAGGAAGGUGGGGAUGACGUCAAGUCAUCAUGGCCCUUACGACCAGGGCUACACACGUGCUACAAUGGCGCAUACAAAGAGAAGCGACCUCGCGAGAGCAAGCGGACCUCAUAAAGUGCGUCGUAGUCCGGAUUGGAGUCUGCAACUCGACUCCAUGAAGUCGGAAUCGCUAGUAAUCGUGGAUCAGAAUGCCACGGUGAAUACGUUCCCGGGCCUUGUACACACCGCCCGUCACACCAUGGGAGUGGGUUGCAAAAGAAGUAGGUAGCUUAACCUUCGGGAGGGCGCUUACCACUUUGUGAUUCAUGACUGGGGUGAAGUCGUAACAAGGUAACCGUAGGGGAACCUGCGGUUGGAUCACCU
rnacentral:rRNA from 3 species